CAGCCGCCGCGGUAACACCAGCAGCCCAAGUGGUGGUCGCGCUUAUUGGGCCUAAAGCGCUCGUAGCCUGGCCGGUAAGUUCCCCGUGAAAUCGGGUCGCCCAACGAUUCGGCUUGCGGGGAAUACUGUCGGUCUUGGGGCCGGGAGACGCCGAGGGUACUCCGGGGGUAGCGGUGAAAUGCUGUAAUCCUCGGGGGACUACCAGUGGCGAAGGCGCUCGGCGAUAACGGGCCUGACGGUGAGGGGCGAAAGCUGGGGGCGCGAACGGGAUUAGAUACCCCCGUAGUCCCUGUCUCUUAUA
rnacentral:rRNA from 1 species